rnacentral:rRNA from 1 species
GUGAGGAAUUUUCCGCAAUGGGCGAAAGCCUGACGGAGCAAUGCCGCGUGAAGGAUGAAGGCCUAUGGGUUGUAAACUUCUUUUCUCAGAAAAGAAUUAUGACGGUAUCUGAGGAAUAAGCAUCGGCUAACUCUGUGCCAGCAGCCGCGGUAAGACAGAGGAUGCAAGCGUUAUCCGGAAUGAUUGGGCGUAAAGCGUCUGUAGGUUGUUUAAAAAGUAUUCUGUAAAAGAUUAGGGCUUAACCCUAGAUAGGCAGAAUAAACUUUUAAGCUAGAGUUUGGUAGAGGCAGAGGGAAUUCCCGGUGGAGCGGUGAAAUGCGUAGAUAUCGGGAGGAACACCAAAGGCGAAGGCACUCUGCUGGGCCAAUACUAACACUGAGAGACGAAAGCGAGGGGAGCAAAUGGGAUUAGAAACCCCAGUAGUCC